GGGUUAAGUCCCGCAACGAGCGCAACCCUGCUGCCAGUUGCCAACGGGUGAAGCCGGGCACUCGUGGAUGGACGUGCCGGUGACAAACCGGAGGAAGGUGGGACGACGUCAAGUCAUCAUGGCCCUUAUGUCCUGGGCUACGACACGUGCUACAAUGGCCGGUACAGAGUGAAGCGAAACCGCGAGGUGAAGCAAAACGCAGAAAGACCGGUCUCAGUACGGAUUGGAGUCUGAAACUCGACUUCAUGAAGUUGGAAUCGCUAGUAAUCGCGCAUCAGCAUGGCGCGGUGAAUACGUUCCCGGGCCUU
rnacentral:rRNA from 1 species